rnacentral:rRNA from 1 species
AGAGUUUGAUCAUGGCUCAGAACGAACGCUGGCGGCAUGCCUAACACAUGCAAGUCGGACGCUCCGCGGAUUUCGGUCCGGGGGGAGUGGCGCACGGGUGAGUAGCGCGUGGGAACCUGCCCUGUUGUGGGGGAUAACCGAGGGAAACUUCGGCUAAUACCGCAUGCGCCCCGGACUUGAUCCGGGGGAAAGAUUUAUCGCAGCAGGAGGGGCCCGCGUCGGAUUAGGUAGUUGGUAGGGUAACGGCCUACCAAGCCUGUGAUCCGUAGCUGGUCUGAGAGGAUGAUCAGCCACACUGGGACUGAGACACGGCCCAGACUCCUACGGGAGGCAGCAGUGGGGAAUAUUGGACAAUGGGGGCAACCCUGAUCCAGCAAUGCCGCGUGAGUGAUGAAGGCCUUAGGGUUGUAAAGCUCUUUCGCCCGCGACGAUGAUGACGGUAGCGGGAGAAGAAGCCCCGGCUAACUUCGUGCCAGCAGCCGCGGUAAUACGAAGGGGGCGAGCGUUGUUCGGAUUUACUGGGCGUAAAGGGCGCGUAGGCGGCCCUCCUUGUCGCGUGUGAAAGCCCCGGGCUCAACCUGGGAAUGGCGCGCGAAACGGGGGGGCUGGAGUUCGGGAGAGGAGCGUGGAAUUCCCAGUGUAGAGGUGAAAUUCGUAGAUAUUGGGAAGAACACCGGUGGCGAAGGCGGCGCUCUGGACCGAGACUGACGCUGAGGCGCGAAAGCGUGGGGAGCAAACAGGAUUAGAUACCCUAGUAGUCC